CUCGCGCUCCUUUCUCUCUGGGUAGCUUGAGAAGAACCAAGAUGUUGGCGGACACUGAUCAAUCUACCAUGGACCAGAAUCAAAUCCAGCAUGUUCCAGUGCAAAACGAACAAGGAGGCCUGCCAUCUCUACUUUAAAGGAAAGCACCAGGGAUCCUUGAAGAACACAAAAAAACAA